AAUAAUGCUCCAAAGUUAGGCUAAAUUUUGGCGAGGGAAAAACUGCCAUGGCCAUUUUCACAGAUGUAUGGCUUUAGGUAUACCUCUGUCUAGUCUUUG